rnacentral:lncRNA from 1 species
AUGGGCUGCGUAAAGGGAGCCCGGGGAGCUCUGUCCGGCCCUUGGGUGACGCCAGGGCCUGUGUGGGGAGCGAGGGCAGGGCCUGCGGUGGGGUGGGGGCACGGGUGCCACCACAGAGGACGAUUCGUAAUGGGGGGGCUGUUCCUAGGGCCAGCAGCAGACAGCGGUGCUGCAGUUUGGCCUGAGCCACCGCUUUUUCAGACCUUGAAGUUUCCUUUAGGUUGAUAAGUGAAGUGCUGUAUUCGACAGAAGACGCAGAAGAGGGUAAAUCCAAAGAUUCCUGUGUCCAGAAAACAGACUAUUAAACCUGAGCCCGAAGCAACUGUACGUGUGAGAGGGAGAAGGUAUGGAGACUCGAUGAAGAUAGUCUUAACCUGUCACACUCCUUUUGGGGCUAUGUGUAAGCAGUUCUGCCAUGCUGUGAGUGGAGGGCUAACAGUUAAAAUGUCAUCUUAUCUAACAUGCUAUUAAAAAAUAUCUUUUUUUUGAAGCUCCUCAAGUGCACAAUUUCAGGCAGAUCUCACCUCACCUUUUAAUUUUAUAAUGGAUAAAUAUUUCUUGUAGAAAGCAAGGUAAAAAGAUAAAAGGCAACAUUCUAAAUGUAUUUAAGGCUGCCAUGUGAUAACAAAUCCCACUGGGAGUCUAGCAAUGCCAGGUCAAAAUACAGUAGCCAUAUGAAUUGCAGGGUGGAUCAGGUGUAAACUCGGGUUGCUAAACCACAGCUAUCUGAAAAUGCCAGAGUGAUAAUUCAUCCCGGCAGGUGUUGUACCAGAGCAGCUAUUGGUUAUCCUCUGGUGGGCAUACAUUUACACGGAUACAGCAGAAGUAGGGCUGCGUGUUCACACCCCACCUGGACUGCAUCUGUUUUCUGGGAGAUCGGGAGUUGCCCAAAGGUGGCAUUAACGAUUGUGAAACCACAGCUUUAAUCUCUGGGAAGAUCAGUGAGGCGGGGAGCUGUUGCACGGAAGCUCAAGAUGACAAGCUCAAGACAGCUACUGUGCCAGUCCGCGGAGAGAUUGCGGUCCCUAAACUAGACAUUAACAGCAGGCAGUCCAAAUUCCUGUCUCAAGGUAGAGGGAAGUGUUGUGGGUUAACCUCGGUAGAGAGCUAAGCACUACAUCACCGCUCGCUCGCUCCCCUCUUGCCCCCUGUGGGAUGCGGGAAGAGAAAAAGGAAGACUAAAACAGAAAAAAAAAAUCUGUGGGUUGAGAUAAAAAUUGUUUAA